rnacentral:rRNA from 1 species
GACGAACGCUGGCGGCGUGCUUAACACAUGCAAGUCGAACGGAAAGGCCCUGCUUUUGUGGGGUGCUCGAGUGGCGAACGGGUGAGUAACACGUGAGUAACCUGCCCUUGACUUUGGGAUAACUUCAGGAAACUGGGGCUAAUACCGGAUAGGAGCUCCUGCUGCAUGGUGGGGGUUGGAAAGUUUCGGCGGUUGGGGAUGGACUCGCGGCUUAUCAGCUUGUUGGUGGGGUUGUGGCUUACCACGGCUUUGACGGGUAGCCGGCCUGAGAGGGUGACCGGCCACAUUGGGACUGCGAUACGGCCCAGACUCCUACGGGAGGCAGCAGUCGGGAAUAUUGCACAAUGGGCGGAAGCCUGAUGCAGCAACGCCGCGUGCGGGAUGACGGCCUUCGAGUUGUAAACCGCUUUCGCCUGUGACGAAGCGUGAGUGACGGUAAUGGGUAAAGAAGCACCGGCUAACUACGUG